AACGAACGCUGGCGGCAUGCCUAACACAUGCAAGUCGAACGAGACCUUCGGGUCUAGUGGCGCACGGGUGCGUAACGCGUGGGAACCUGCCCUUAGGUUCGGAAUAACUCCCCGAAAGGGGUGCUAAUACCGGAUAAUGUCUUCGGACCAAAGAUUUAUCGCCUUUGGAUGGGCCCGCGUUGGAUUAGCUAGUUGGUAGGGUAAAAGCCUACCAAGACGACGAUCCAUAGCUGGUCUGAGAGGAUGAUCAGCCACACUGGGACUGAGACACGGCCCAGACUCCUACGGGAGGCAGCAGUGGGGAAUAUUGGACAAUGGGCGAAAGCCUGAUCCAGCAAUGCCGCGUGAGUGAUGAAGGCCUUAGGGUUGUAAAGCUCUUUUACCCGGGAUGAUAAUGACAGUACCGGGAGAAUAAGCUCCGGCUAACACCGUG
rnacentral:rRNA from 1 species